GAAAAUCAGCUGGGAAAGCAUAGGCUUUAAAUAGGUGAUGCUGAAACAACUGGUUAUUCCUAUAGGAAAACUCAAUUUGAACCCCUAUCUCACACCACAUGCCAAAAAAUCUAUUCUAGAUGGAUUAAAGACUUAACUUUAGGUAGAGCUUUAAAACUUUUGAAGGAUAAUAUAAGAGAAUGCCCUUUUCAAUUAAAGGAAGGGAAGGGUUUCUGAAGCUAAAUUGAAAAGCGCAGAUAGUAAAGGAAAUUAUUAAAGUCAACCACAUUAAAGUUAAGAUCUUCUGUACAUAAAGAGAUACCUAAAGAGAGAAAAAGAUGAGCCACAAACUGGGAGAGGGGAUUUGCUAUACCUUUGUGUCAAAGAAUUAGCAUCCAGACUACAUAAAAACUGUAAGCCCAUAAAAAAAAUACAGCCUAAUUUAUUUUAAAUGGGAAAAGGAUUUAAAUGGGCCUGUCACUGAAGAGAAAACACAAAUGGUGAACAAACAUACGAAAAUAUGCUCAACUUCAUUUGUAAUCAGGGAAAUGCAAAUUAAAACCACAAUGGCAUAUUAUUUCAAUCCCAUUAGUUUGACAAAAGUUUUAAAAUGUCAAAUAACAAGAAUGAGAAAAGAUGUGGAACCACUGAGUUCUUAUACACUGUUAAUGAGACUGUAAAUUUUUUCAACCAUUUUGGAAGAAAAUUUGCCAUUAUCUAAAAGGUUGAAAAUGUGCAUG
rnacentral:lncRNA from 1 species